UUAAACUGAAGAGUUUGAUCCUGGCUCAGAUUGAACGCUGGCGGCA
rnacentral:rRNA from 1 species